CUACGGGAGGCAGCAGUGGGGAAUUUUGGACAAUGGGCGCAAGCCUGAUCCAGCCAUUCCGCGUGAGUGAAGAAGGCCUUCGGGUUGUAAAGCUCUUUCCCAAGGGAAGAAAACUUAUCCUCUAACAUAGGGUGAGGUUGACGGUACCUUGAUAAGAAGCACCGGCUAACUACGUGCCAGCAGCCGCGGUAAUACGUAGGGUGCGAGCGUUAAUCGGAAUUACUGGGCGUAAAGCGUGCGCAGGCUGUUUUGUAAGUCAGAUGUGAAAUCCCCGAGCUCAACUUGGGAACUGCGUUUGAAACUACAAGACUAGAAUAUGUCAGAGGGGGGUAGAAUUCCAUGUGUAGCAGUGAAAUGCGUAGAGAUGUGGAGGAAUACCAAUGGCGAAGGCAGCCCCCUGGGAUAAUAUUGACGCUCAUGCACGAAAGCGUGGGGAGCAAACAGGAUUAGAUACCCGUGUAGUC
rnacentral:rRNA from 1 species